rnacentral:rRNA from 1 species
AGGGUUUGAUCAUGGCUCAGAUUGAACGUUGGCGGUAUGCUUUACACAUGCAAGUCGAACGGCAGCGUAAGAGUGCUUGCACUCUUGACGGCGAGUGGCGGACGGGUGAGUAAUGCAUGGGAACGUGCCUAGCAAAGGGGGAUAACCUCAGGAAACUGAGGCUAAUACCGCAUACGCUCCAAGGAGGAAAGGUGGCCUCUGCUUGCAAGCUGCCGAUGCUAGAGUGGCCCAUGUCUGAUUAAUUUGUUGGUAGGGUAACGGCCUACCAAGGUGACGAUCAGUAGCUGUUCUGAGAGGAAGAUCAGCCACACCGGGACUGAGACACGGCCCGGACUCCUACGGGAGGCAGCAGUGAGGAAUUUUGGACAAUGGGGGAAACCCUGAUCCAGCAAUACCGCGUGAAUGAAGAAGGCCCUCGGGUUGUAAAGUUCUUUCGCAGGGGAAGAAAAGGCGAGAUGGAAUAUAUCUCGUUGCUGACGGUACCCUGAUAAGAAGCACCGGCUAACUACGUGCCAGCAGCCGCGGUAAUACGUAGGGUGCGAACGUUAAUCGGAAUUACUGGGCGUAAAGGGUACGUAGGCGGUUAUUUAAGUCAGAUGUGAAAGCCCCGAGCUCAACUUGGGAACUGCGUUUGAAACUGAAUGACUCGAGUAUGGCAGAGGAAGGUAGAAUUUCACGUGUAGCGGUGAAAUGCGUAGAUAUGUGAAAGAAUACUAAGGGCGAAGGCAGCCUUCUG